rnacentral:lncRNA from 1 species
GUUUAAUAAUUCACCAUGUAAAAUUAUUUGAUGAACCUCCGUAACAAGAAAAAAAAAUGUUUUUUUAAAUGAAAUAAAUGUUUUUUUUCCCAUCAGGAGCCAUUUUCGACCUGGAUCUGAAUCUGGAUCUGAAUCUGGAUCUGAAUCUGGAUUUGAAUCAGAAUCUGAAUCUGGAUCUGAAUCUGGAUCUGGAUCUGAAUCUGGAUCUGAAUCUGGAUCCAGCUGUGUGUCCUUCAGGAGUGACAAGUCAAAGGACUUUAAUCCUGACUUCAAGUCCAUCAGUCCAGGAGUGAAACAGAGCCAUUUUCGACCUGGAUUUGAAUCAGAAUCUGAAUCUGGAUCUGAAUCUGGAUCUGGAUCUGAAUCUGGAUCUGAAUCUGGAUCUGAAUCUGGAUUUGAAUCAGAAUCUGAAUCUGGAUCUGAAUCUGAAUCUGGAUCUGAAUCUGAAUCUGAAUCUGGAUCUGGAUCUGGAUCUGAAUCAGGAUCUGGAUCUGAAUCUGAAUCUGGAUCUGAAUCUGGAUCCAGCUGUGUGUCCUUCAGGAGUGACAAGUCAAAGGACUUUAAUCCUGACUUCAAGUCCAUCAGUCCAGGAGUGAAACAGAGCCAUUUUCGACCUGGAUUUGAAUCAGAAUCUGAAUCUGGAUCUGAAUCUGGAUCUGGAUCUGAAUCUGGAUCUGAAUCUGGAUCUGAAUCUGGAUCUGGAUCUGAAUCUGGAUCUGAAUCUGGAUCUGAAUCUGGAUUUGAAUCAGAAUCUGAAUCUGGAUCUGAAUCUGAAUCUGGAUCUGAAUCUGGAUCCAGCUGUGUGUCCUUCAGGAGUGACAAGUCAAAGGACUUUAAUCCUGACUUCAAGUCCAUCAGUCCAGGAGUGAAACAGAGCCAUUUUCGACCUGGAUCUGAAUCUGGAUCUGGAUCUGGAUCUGAAUCAGGAUUUGAAUCUGAACCUGGAUCUGAAUCUGGAUCCAGCUGUGUGUCCUUCAGGAGUGACAAGUCAAAGGACUUUAAUCCUGACUUCAAGUCCAUCAGUCCAGGAGUGAAACAGAGCCAUUUUCGACCUGGAUCUGAAUCUGGAUCUGGAUCUGGAUCUGAAUCAGGAUUUGAAAUCUGAACUGGAUCUGAAUCUGGAUCCAGCUGUGUGUCCUUCAGGAGUGACAAGUCAAAGGACUUUAAUCCUGACUUCAAGUCAUCAGUCCAGGAGUGAAACAGUAAGUGUUUGUCAAGAGUUAAAGGAGGCUGAGAUAAUAGCUUCAGAUGAUCAAUAGUUUUCAGA